GAUGAACGCUGGCGGCGUGCCUAACACAUGCAAGUCGAACGGAGUAGCAAUACUUUAGUGGCGCACGGGUGAGUAACACGUAGCUAACCUUACCCUCAAGCGGGGGAUAACGUUCCGAAAGGAAUGCUAAUACCGCAUAAGCUCACGCGAAGUAGAGGAGCGUGAGAAAAGGCGAAAGCCACUUGAGGAUGGGGCUGCGGCCCAUCAGGUAGUUGGUAGGGUAACGGCCUACCAAGCCGACGACGGGUAGGGGACCUGAGAGGGUGAUCCCCCACACUGGGACUGAGACACGGCCCAGACUCCUACGGGAGGCAGCAGUGAGGAAUAUUGGUCAAUGGGCGAAAGCCUGAACCAGCGACGCCGCGUGGGUGAAGAAGGUCUUCGGAUCGUAAAGCCCUUUUCUGUGUGACGAGUAAGGACGGUAGCACAGGAAUAAGUCUCGGCUAACUACGUGCCAGCAGCCGCGGUAAU
rnacentral:rRNA from 1 species